rnacentral:rRNA from 1 species
UGAGCAAUCUGCCCUUCUCUUCGGAAUAAGCGUUGGAAACGACGUCUAAUGCCGAAUACGACCUCCUUUCGCAUGAUCGGAGGUGGAAAGCUCCGGCGGAGAAGGAUGAGCUCGCGGCCUAUCAGCUAGUUGGUGUGGGUAAUGGCCCACCAAGGCGACGACGGGUAGCCGGCCUGGAGAGGGCGAUCGGCCACACGUGGGACUGAGACACGGCCCAGACCUCCGUACGGGAGCAG